rnacentral:rRNA from 1 species
UCCGUGCCAGCAGCCGCGGUAAUACGGAGGGUGCAAGCGUUGUCCGGAAUCAUUGGGCGUAAAGAGUUCGUAGGCGGCAUGUAAAGUCAGGUGUUAAAGGCUGAGGCUCAACCUCAGUAUGGCACUUGAUACUUGCAAGCUAGAAUGCGGUAGAGGUAAAGGGAAUUCCUGGUGUAGCGGUGAAAUGCUUAGAUAUCAGGAGGAACAUCGGUGGCGUAAGCGCUUUACUGGGCCGUAAUUGACGCUGAGGAACGAAAGCCAGGGUAGCAAAUGGGAUUAGAUACCCCAGUAGUCCUGGCCGUAAACGAUGGAUACUAGGUGUUGCGGGUAUCGACCCCUGCAGUGCCGCAGCAAACGCGUUAAGUAUCCCGCCUGGGGAGUACGCACGCAAGUGUGAAACUCAAAGGAAUUGACGGGGACCCGCACAAGCGGUGGAACAUGUGGUUUAAUUCGAAGCAACGCGAAAAACCUUACCAGGGCUUGACAUCUGACGAAUCUGGAUGAAAGUUCGGAGUGCUCUUCGGAGAGCGUCAAGACAGGUGGUGCACGGUUGUCGUCAGCUCGUGUCGUGAGAUGUUGGGUUAAGUCCCGCAACGAGCGCAACCCUCGUCGUUAGUUGGUGUUAUCGGUACACUGAUAAUAACCUCUCUAGCGAGACUGCCGGUGAUAAACCGGAGGAAGGUGGGGACGACGUCAAAUCAUCAUGCCCCUUAUGCUCUGGGCUACACACGUGUUACAAUGGUUAGGACAGCGAGCAGCGAACCUGCGAGGGUAAGCAAAUCUCUAAAACCUAGCCUCAGUUCGGAUUGCACUCUGCAACUCGAGUGCAUGAAGUCGGAAUCGCUAGUAAACGCAGAUCAGCACGCUGCGUUGAAUACGUUCCCGGGUCUUGUACACACCGCCCGUCACACCAUGGAAGUCGACCACGCCCGAAGUACGUGAGCUAACCAAUUGGAAGCAGCGUCCUAAGGCAGGGUUGGUGACUGGGGUGAAGUCGUAACAAGGUAGCCGUACCGGAAGGUGUGGCUG